CAAGCGUUGUUCGGAAUCACUGGGCGUAAAGGGCGUGUAGGCGGUCAAGUAAGUGGGACGUGAAAGCCCCCGGCUCACCCGGGGAUCUGCAUCCCAAACUGCUUGGCUUGAGUAUGGUAGGGGUAGAGGGAAUUCCCGGUGUAGCGGUGAAAUGCGUAGAUAUCAGGAGGAACACCCAUGGCGAAGGCAGCAAACUGGGCCACAUCUGACGCUGAGGCGCGAAAGCGUGGGUAGCAAACAGG
rnacentral:rRNA from 1 species